AGAGUUUGAUCCUGGCUCAGAUUGAACGCUGGCGGCAUGCCUUACACAUGCAAGUCGAACGGCAGCACGGGUGCUUGCACCUGGUGGCGAGUGGCGAACGGGUGAGUAAUGCACCGGAACGUACCCAGUAAUGGGGGAUAACACAUCGAAAGAUGUGCUAAUACCGCAUACGCCCUGAGGGGGAAAGCGGGGGAUCGUAAGACCUCGCGUUAUUGGAGCGGCCGAUGCCGGAUUAGCUAGUUGGUGAGGUAAGAGCUCACCAAGGCGACGAUCCGUAGCUGGUCUGAGAGGACGACCAGCCACACUGGGACUGAGACACGGCCCAGACUCCUACGGGAGGCAGCAGUGGGGAAUUUUGGACAAUGGGCGCAAGCCUGAUCCAGCCAUGCCGCGUGAGUGAAGAAGGCCUUCG
rnacentral:rRNA from 1 species